GCCUGGUGCUGUGGUGCAUGCCUGUAAUCCCAGCUGCUGGGGAGGCUGAGGCAGGAGGAUCACAAGUUCAAAGCCCACCUCAGCAAAAGCGAGGCACUAAGCAAUUCAGUGAGACCCAGUCUCUA
rnacentral:sRNA from 1 species